rnacentral:lncRNA from 1 species
AUAACUUGUAAAAUCUGCUGCUUUAUUUUUCUGCCUGGUAAACGUUUCUUUUGCUGCGCAGGACACAUCAGCCCACCAGUACCUCGAAGUUCACAACAGAGAUGGCAGUCAUAUUUCUCUUGGCAUUUUAGACUGAAGUUAAUUAACAUUUUUAUAGGCACGAUAAUUAACAUUUUAUGAGCUGGAUUUCCUCAUCCCUUGAACCUACUUUGGCAUCACUUCAUACUGGAAAAUUGCAGUAUUCCAGUGCCGGUUCUUUCACCUCUCUGGAUCUUGGUUGACUUGCAAUGAGUGAUCUAGACCUGGAGUACAUACUGUGCAAUAUGUUUUGCCUUGCCAGACUUGAGAGAAGCACCUCAUUAAGGGAACUUACAGAAGUGCUGGAGGUUUGCUCAGCUACACAGAGUUUUGCAACAGACAUGUCUCUUGCAAUCUCCUGGUGCUAUUUGCAGUAGCAGGAACCCUAUGUCUAUGGAAAGACGCACGGUGUGGCGUAGCGGAAAACAGUGUAUCAGUAUUAUCUACUGGAGGGAUCACAUAGAAUGGAGCGUUAUGUCAUUUAAUGCACAGAGGUUCAAGACACUUCCAUGGCUUCAGCUGGCUGGGGUGAAUGUCCUCCUUUAGAGUCACUUUACCUAAGAAACCCCAAGGAGGUCAAAUGAGACAGAAAUGAAAGGUAAGUGUAAUAUAUGACCUUGUAAAUUGUU